CUUUGGUGCAGUGAUGAUCCCUUGAUCAUUUUCCUUUGCUGUUUCUUCUGACUUUGUUGCUUUUUGUUCGUGAUCUCCUUCAAUGGAUUUGAGCAUGAGAAAUCAUACUCUCCAGCUUUGGCUAUUGUUCAGAAAGGGGAUUAUGGCUUGAAGGACAAGGAUCUUUCAUCUUUACAUACAGAGAAUGCAAAUAUGGUUAUCCGGUUGAAUGACUAGAUUAUGACUAUCGUUAUGACAUUUAAUUUGGAAUGUGACGAAAUAAGAUGCAUACACAAGGUGAUAUACGAAAAUUGUAUGAGUAAUAAAUAAUGAUAUAAU